AAAUGUCCAAACAAUUUCUCUUCAUUUUCAAAAAAUUUUAGAUUUUGAUAAUAUUGAAAAUCAAUUGCAUAAAUGAAGAUGUCUUAAGAUUGAAUCUUCACUUAAAGAAAGCAUGUUGAAAUUAAUCGAAAUUGCAUGGUAGACUAUGCUUUAAACUAACUAUUUUAUUUGAUUAAUCAAACACAUCUCACACAAUGAUUUCAACACCAGUUAAUGCACAACAUCCAGUGGCAUUAUUAUAGACAUGUGUUUGUAAUUUCUUUCCAUGAGUGUUGUUAGAGCCUUUAAGCUCCUUAAAACAUCCACAUUCCACGCUGACAUAAGUAGAUUGCAUUAAGAGUGUUCCUAUAAUUAUAACACUAUAACAUAUUUAUGUUAUAGAUCUACUAAGACUAUAUGCCCAUUCUUUCUUUUAUCAUCAUUGUAGACCCAAUUUUUAGCCCGGGCCCAUACACAUACAAAAACCAAAAAAAAACAUUAAAUAAGCCCAUUUACAAAUAAUAGCCAUCCCAAUUACACUAAAUAAUAAGUCCAAAAUAAAACAACCCAAAACUAAGCUAAAAAAAAGAAAGAAACAGUUACUGCCUCCCCUCAACCACUGCCCACGUUCUCUACCCAUACUCCAUGCCCCUCAUUCUCCACGACUUCACAACCUGCAUUUGAACAAAAAACAGCAAGAAACUGUUUUUAUUUGGCCAUAAAGCCUUCAGAUUUUGUGGGUAAAAGGGUUCUUUUUUUCUUUUAGGUUUUUGAGGGAAAUUGUACACAAAAUACAUACCAAAUCAAUAGAAAGCAACCAAAACAUACCUCAAAAGGUGAUUUAAGGUCUCGUUUUUUCUUUCGAUUUUAUUUCUUUUUUUUUUCUCUACUGUAUGUGAACAAUACGAGAGAGGGAGACUCACCGUCGUACUCGCACUGUGGGGGGGCUUCGUCUGUCAUCGGAUUUGGGGCUGGAAAGCAGCGGGGAAAGUGAAGGAGUUUAGACAUACUCUAAAGCAUUUAUGGUUCUUUAAAAAAGGAAUAAAGGUUAAAAAUGUUUUUUUGAAAAACAAAAAAAAAAAGGGUUUUGAAACAGGUUGAAUUUCAAAUGAAAAUGAAACAGAAUUGGGGGGUUCAGUAGGCGCGUUUGACUUGGUCCGCGCAUUUUACCUUGAAUGGGUAAUUUUCGCGGCCAGUCCUUCCUAUUUGCACAAUUUUUUUA
rnacentral:lncRNA from 1 species